CAGCCGCCGCGGUAAUACCGGCGGCCCGAGUGGCGGUCACUAUUAUUGGGCUUAAAGCGUCCGUAGCCGGGUUGGGAAGUCCUCCGGGAAAUCUGGCCGCUUAACGGUCAGAAUGCCGGAGGAUACUCCCAGCCUAGGGAGCGGGGGAGGCCGAGGGUAUUCCCGGAGUAGGGGGGAAAUCCUAUAAUCCCGGGAGGACCACCUGGGGCGAAGGCGCUCGGCUGGGACGCGUCCGACGGUGAGGGACGAAGGCCAGGGGAGCAAACCGGAUUAGAUACCCGGGUAGUCCUGGCUGUAAACGAUGCGGACUUUGUGUCGGACAAGCUAUGAGCUUGUCCGGUGCCGGAGGGAAACCGUUAAGUCCGCCGCCUGGGGAGUACGGCCGCAAGGCUGAAACUUAAAGGAAUUGGCGGG
rnacentral:rRNA from 1 species